rnacentral:rRNA from 1 species
UUGACCUCGGAUCAGGUAGGGAUACCCGCUGAACUUAAGCAUAUCAAUAAGCCGGGAGGA